rnacentral:rRNA from 1 species
UACAGAGGGUGCAAGCGUUAAUCGGAAUUACUGGGCGUAAAGCGCGCGUAGGUGGUUUGUUAAGUUGGAUGUGAAAUCCCCGGGCUCAACCUGGGAACUGCAUCCAAAACUGGCAAGCUAGAGUAUGGUAGAGGGUGGUGGAAUUUCCUGUGUAGCGGUGAAAUGCGUAGAUAUAGGAAGGAACACCAGUGGCGAAGGCGACCACCUGGACCAGCACUGACACUGAGGCACGAAAGCGUGGGGAGCAAACAGG